rnacentral:rRNA from 1 species
UACGGAGGAUGCAAGCGUUAUCCGGAAUGAUUGGGCGUAAAGGGUCCGCAGGUGGUAUUGUAAGUCUGCUGUCAAAGAAUGAGGCUUAACCUCAUAAAGGCAGUGGAAACUACAUAGCUAGAGUACGGUCGGGGUAGAAGGAAUUCCUGGUGUAGCGGUGAAAUGCGUAGAGAUCAGGAAGAACACCGGUGGCGAAAGCGUUCUGCUAGACCUGUACUGACACUGAGGGACGAAAGCUAGGGGAGCGAAUGGG